rnacentral:rRNA from 1 species
CUUGGUCAUUUAGAGGAACUAAAAAUCCUAACCAGGGCUCCCUUGGGAAAAAGGAGGAAAAUAUUACUGGGUGGGUUCGGCCUAAACCCCCUUACCAUUGUGAACGAUACCAGUUGCUUAGCUGGUGGCUGUGAAAACUGGAGUACCGGGGGCACAAAAAUCUUCUAAUGUCAUCUCUGAAUUACUUUUAAAUAAUGCAAAACUUUCAACAACGGAUCUCUUGGUUCUGGCCUCCAUGAAAAACGCAUCGAAAUGCAAUAAGUAAUGUGAAUUGCAGAAUUCUGUGAAUCAUCGAAUCUUUGAACGCACAUUGCGCCCGCUAGCAUUCUGGCGGGCAUGCCUGUUCGAGCGUCAUUUCAACCAUCCAGCCCCAGGCUUGUGUUGGGGCCCUGCGGCUGCCGCAGGCCCCUAAAAGCAAUGGCGGACUCGCUGUCGUACCGAACGCAGUAGCAUAUCACGCUCAAGGCUUGGAGGCUGGCACCGGCCGUAAAACACCUAUAUUAUGGUUGACCUCGGAUCAAGUAGGAAUACCCGCUGAACUUAAGCAUAUCAAUAAAGCGGAGAA